rnacentral:lncRNA from 1 species
GGCCUCCCAAAGUGCUGGGAUUAUUACAGGCUUGAGCCACCACACCCAGCCCCUGCUUUUUUGUUUGUUUGUUUGUUUGGUUUUUUUUUUUGAGACAGAAUCUUGUGCUGUCACCCAGGCUGGAGUGCAAUGGCGCAAUCUCAGCUCAUUGCAGCCUCUGGGCCCCAGGUUCAAGCAGUUCUCCUGCCUCAGCCUCCCAAGUAGCUGGGAUUACAGGCACCCGCCACCACACCUAAUUUUUUGUAUUUUUAGUAGAGAUGGGGUUUUGCCAUGUUGGCCAGGCUAGUCUCAAACUCCUGACCUCAGGUGAUCCACCCUCCUCAGCCUCUCAAAGUGAUUGGAUUACAGGCAUGAGCCCUCACGCCCGGCCUAGAACAAAGAUUUUUAUCUUGGUCACCGCUGUAGCCUUAGCACCUAGAGCAGUGCUAGUCACAUAGUGGUCCUGGAAUAAGUAUUGUUUAAAUGAAUGUGGAAAAUAUUUGCAACAUAUUACAAACAUUUAAAUUUUUAAUUAAUAUAAAGCUCCUUUUUGGCUUGGCAUGGUGGCUCACGCCUGUAAUCCCAGCACUUUGGGAGGCCGAGGUGGGCGGAUCACGAGGUCAGGAGAUCAAGACCAUCCUGGCUAACACGGUAAAACCCUAAUUCUCUGGCCGGGCGCGGUGGCUCACGCCUGUAAUCCCAGCUCUUUGGGAGGCCGAGGCAGGCAGAUCACAAGGUCAGGAGAUCGAGACCAUCCUGGCUAACACAUGAAACCCCAUCUCUACUAAAAAUACAAAAAAAUUAGCUGGGCAUGGUGGCGGGCGCCUGUAGUCCCAGCUACUCGGGAGGCUGAGGCAGGAGAACGGCAUGAGCCCGGGGGGCGGAGCUUGCA